ensembl:lncRNA
CAGCUGCUUUGUGUGAUGGGAGUUGGGGCAGGCGGGUGGCGGUGGCUGCUGCCCGUGGAAAAAGGAGGGCCUUACACCGGUCCUUUAGCUCUGUGGAAGAAUAGUUCUCACAGGCUUGACGUCCCAGUGCCUUAUGAGAGUGCCAUUACAAUGAACAGAACUGCUUUUUUUUUUUUUUCCAUUUCCUGUUUCUCUAAAUAAACAAAGCUAGUUAGAUUGGAAUACAUUAUAACUUCUGCAGCGAGCUUCUCUGCUCGCUGAUAAGGUUGCUAAAGGCUAUGAUUUGCAUGGCAUUUCCGAGCUCCUCGUCAUUAGGACACGUUACCAACGUAACAAUUUGUCUGUCUGUCUCCCAGCAGCAGCGCAGAAGGUGCCUUAGGAACGCUGUGCCAUGGGCACUGAUAGCAAAAAGGCAGAAGUAUUUUUCAGCAUUGCAAGCCUCAGCCAACCUUCAGCCCAAAAAGCGUGACGUGGAACUGAGCGCCGUGCAGGACUGCAGAGCGCCGUGGAGAGACUCCGAAGAGCAGCAGCUCAAUGUGCAGAACACAGGCGGGAGGAAACAGGAAACCAUUCCCACAGCUGCAGCACUUGCUGUAUUCUGGUGGUAUUGCUUGGUUUCUGCAGUCCAGGUUCUCUAACCUCGUUCUAGUAAACAGUGAGGAAGGAGGAUAUAAGGGCUAUCUAUACCUGUGAUAUGACUUAGGCAGCUGUUGCAGGAGCUGAACAGAUUCCUAAAUAAGCCAUGUACAGGCCGAGUAAAAUCUUCUUACCUUAGACAACAGACAACAGCUUCUGUGACUGUUCAGGAAACCAGUGAAGCCUCCAUCAGCCAACAG